rnacentral:lncRNA from 1 species
CAAAAUUGUUUUAAAACAUUUCUUACUCUAAUAUGUUGAAGAAAUGUUAUUUGAACAUGAGUAAAUGUUAACUCAGGAAGUUACUAUAAAUUCAACUGAGUUGCAUUGUUUGGGGUUAACCAAAGAGGGAUCAUAACAAAAUUUUCUUCUAUUUAAACAGCACCUAGAUGUUAAUAUUAAAAUAUAUUAUCCCCCUUGAAUGAAGAAAAUGACACAUUAUAUUCUACAGAACUGUAACAAUUAUAGACCCGUCAUUAUAAAGCUAAAUAAAAGAGUGCAACGAGAGAGUACACUAUACAUAGACAAAUGUAUGGAUGAAGUCAAAGUAAAAUAGAUGAGAAUUAUCCCCCUUGAUUGAAGAAAAUCAAACAUUGUAACUUCUAAAGUAAUGCAACAAAUAUAGACCCGUUUUUAGAAAGUUUAAAAAGAGUUACUAUGAAAGAGAUUACAUUCUACAUUGACAAAUAUUUCUUCUUAUGUAUGGAUGAAGUAAAAGUAUAAUAGAUAGUUAUGUCCCUUGAAUGAAUAAAAUCAGGCAAUCUAACUUUCCACAGAACUGUUACAUUUAUAGACCCGUCAUUAGAAAGCUAAAUAAAAAGAGAAACAAUAAGAGAGUAAAUUAUCCGUAGACAAAUUUUUUUUUCUUAUGUAUGGAUGGAUGAAGAAAACAUGCUUACCUAUAAUUAACAACAAAUAUUUCCAUAAAUGUUAACAAAAUGUAAUGAAAAAAAUAACAAUAAUAUUGCACAUGAUUUCUGACCUCCACACGGAAGCCAUUGUAAAGUAAAUAUUGUUCUAUAUACAUGACAACAACAAAACAUAGCAUCUUAACACAGUGGCUCAAUACUUCAACAGUUUCAUCAGAUCUGUACUCAUUAAUAUACCAUAUCCCUUUGUUUCUAUUUUAUAGAGUGCAAACAUGCCAUGGCAUACACACCAUAUUCAUCUAUCAUUAGGUAUUCAAUCAAACAAACUUUAUCUUUAAAUGACCAAUUUGAAACUGAAAACAAGAAAAUGUUAUCAUCAUUUCAGAGUUUUGUCAUAAAAUCAGAAAAAGAUUGUUUUUAAACCUAAUUUAUUUCUUCAAAAUACUAUAUUCAAGAAGUCGACAACAAAACAUCUAUUUUAAAUGUCUAUAACAAUUAUAUAUGCGACAUUGAAAAUGUCAUUUCUUUUCAAAAGAUUUUUGACAUGUUCAUGUGUAUUUUAAACCAUAAACAUUAUAUUUCUAACAUUUAUAAAAAUUAACAAACAAUAUAUCACUAGUAACACAAUUCUUAACAAUAUGUCAUUCAUUUUUUUAAUCUUGAACAUCAUAACAUUUAUUUGUUCAGCAGAUGAUAAAAUAUUUUUGACAUUCCCUCUAUAAAACAACAGUGUAUACUCUAACAACCAUGACACUUGUAAACCAUAUCUUUAUAAAUUUUUGCAUGAUACAUUUUAAGCAAAAAAUAUAUAUUUUUCACAAUACAGAUUUUUAUACAAAU